AUUUAUGGUACGCUUUUUACGCAGCAUCAUUAGAGCUACACGGCUUAAUUAGAGCAAAACUAAUUACGUACACUUAGAUGACAAAAUCCUACAAAAUCUUGCUUGCUUUCGAAAAAUACGCACGCAAAUUAUACAAUGGAUUUCGUCUUCAAAUUGGUAGAGGGCGCUGGUGGCGGAGAUUUGAAUUUCUGCAUUGUUUUCGAGGUCACGCGUUCACAAUUGGCGGAUAUUUUUGCUGUUUGUGCGGUUAGUGCAGUAAUUGCAAUUGUUCAAUACAAAAAUAAUUAAUAAGUAAUGUAAAUGUUAUUGAACAUUGUGGUACGACUACAAACUGGGUUCGAAUGGUUUAAGAUGAAGGACAAGCAGUCACAAACGCGAAUAUCGUAAGAAUCAAACAAAUAUUAAACAUUUACCUCAUGAUAACCUCAUAAGUGUACAUGUGCUUUACUGGGUAAAUCUAUUUCAUAGAUUUAAUAAUGAUUAAAGCAGUGAUAUGUGUAAACUGAGCACGUGAAAAUGAUGCGUUUCUUCAAUGUUACCAUGACAAGCACUUUUUAUAAGAAGAUAAAGACAAUGCUGUUUUAAAAUUGCAUAAAUAAUUCAUCAAGAGUCUCGAAAUAAACGUUAUUUUCAUCACAAGGCAACACAUUCACGCUGUAUAUAUAGUUUUGGAAUUAACUCUGCAUGACUCUGCACUUAAUUUGUGUCUAACUGCUGUCAAAAUCCAUUUUCUUACAUAAUUCACUCAAAUAUUUCUAUACUAUGAGUUUUUGUCAGAAACAUCGUGCUGUUUCCAUGAUAUUUACGAGUGCGCCGUGGAUAAAAACAGAACAUAACCGAGUUAACGCCGACUCAACCGAGGAAAAUUUGCAUUCCAAACGAAAACGUGCGCAUGCAUUUCCAUCCGAUAUUCUAAUGUUGUUCCCAUGACCUCAUGACUCGCCACCAUCCACACCACUAUCAACAAAUCUCACAAAAUAUCCCAAUCCAAUGCAAAUAACAAAAAUUUCAACAUUUAUGUGCCUAAUAUCCAUGAAAUAAUCAAUUCAUAGGUACAAGCAGUGUAAACAAGCCGUUUAUGCGUGUAAUACACUUCUAUACCGCGUAUAGAGGUAAACUUAAGUAUGUGCAUAUUUAAUGUAUUGUAUGUUAUUACAUUAAAUUUGAUGUUAAACAAACACGGCAUCAUCAGCCUUGGCGCAAAACGACGAAAUGGAUGUAGCCGCAAACGAUACACAUCCCCACAAAGAUGUGUUUAACAUUUAUAUUAUGCAAACAUGUUUAGACUGCGGCCCACACCCGCAGAGGGAAAUUUGGAAAAUGCGUCAAAUGCGUCCUGUUCGGUAAUAAAUUCGCAUGGCAUUAUAAAACGUUACCAAUAACGGUAAUAUCAAUCAUAUUAUUGUGUAUUACACCAUGUGAGGGUUGAUUUUUAAAAAUUUGUCUUUUUGUUUUUAUUGUAACAUCCUGAUUGAGAUCUUAAAGUCUCAAGUGCAAGUAGCAGUAGGUAGCUAUCGAUUAAGAUGUGGAAAUUGUGGAAAUGAAGGAAACGUAAUAUAACUUUUUAAUUGAA